GUGGGGAAUAUUGGACAAUGGGCGAAAGCCUGAUCCAGCCAUGCCGCGUGAGUGAUGAAGGCCUUAGGGUUGUAAAGCUCUUUCAGUGGGGAAGAUAAUGACGGUACCCACAGAAGAAGCCCCGGCUAACUUCGUGCCAGCAGCCGCGGUAAUACGAAGGGGGCUAGCGUUGUUCGGAUUUACUGGGCGUAAAGCGCACGUAGGCGGAUCGUUAAGUCGGGGGUGAAAUCCUGGAGCUCAACUCCAGAACUGCCUUCGAUACUGGCGAUCUUGAGUCCGGAAGAGGUGAGUGGAACUCCUAGUGUAGAGGUGGAAUUCGUAGAUAUUAGGAAGAACACCAGUGGCGAAGGCGGCUCACUGGUCCGGUACUGACGCUGAGGUGCGAAAGCGUGGGGAGCAAACAGGAUUAGAAACCCGUGUAGUCC
rnacentral:rRNA from 1 species